rnacentral:rRNA from 1 species
GAUGAACGCUGGCGGCGUGCCUAACACAUGCAAGUCGAGCGAACGGACGAGAAGCUUGCGUCUCGCAUGUGAGCGGGGGACGGGUGAGUAACACGUGGAUAACCUACCUAUAAGACUGGGAUAACUUCGGGAAACCGGAGCUAACACCGGAUAAUAUUUUGAAGCGCAUAGUUCAACAGUGAAAGACGGCGUUGCUGGCACGAAUAGAUGGUUCCGCGCCGUAUUAGCUAGUUGGUAGGGUAACCGCUUACCAAGGCAACGAUGUGUAGCCGACCUGAGAGGCUGAUCGGCCACACUGGAACUGAGACACGGUCCAGACUCCUACGGGAGGCAGCAGUGGGGAAUCUUCGGCAAUGGGCGAAAGCCUGACCCAGCCACGCCGCGUGCGUGAUGAAGGCCUUCGGAUCGUAAAACUCUUUUAUCAGGGAAGAACAUCUUUGUAUGUAUCCGUGGAGAGCUUGACGGUACCUAAUCAAAAAGCACCGGCUAACUACGUG